rnacentral:lncRNA from 1 species
GUAGGGACCUUCCCUGGAGCUUGCAGGUUCAGACUCAGAGAGUUGAAAUGGGACAAGAGUUUUGUUCAGAAAUCUGUCAACAAAGCUUUCAAUCGUGGCAUAGCUGAAAUCAAUAUUUCCUGGGAGGACGUAGUGUUGUUGUGAAGCAGGAUCCAUUAUCACCAAGGAAGGGAUCCUAGUCUCCCCUGUCAAGGCCGUAAGUAAUCUGUAGUUUCCAUCAGAAAACAAAAAAGAGCCAUGAAACCUCCCAAAUUCUAGCUCUUCACUUGACGUGCCCACACUAGGAUAUAGCUCUGGUUGUAAUUUCAUGGUUUCUAGAACUGAUACCUCAACAUCUGAUAAAAGUUUAUCAAGCUUUAUAGGGUCGUCUGAUGUGACCACAUAAGCUGACUUCUCCACAACUUGAGGAGACCCAACAUAGCUGGACCUUUCCUCAAGAGCCAAAUCCUUGUCCCAGUUGUCAGAUCUUGUGGUGGGACUCAAUUUUGAAGAUUUAGACGAGUCAUGGGUCGCCUCUACCUCACCGUCUGUUGGCAGUAAGUCUGGCUUUAUACUCUGGUCCUGAGACAAAAGUUGGAAACCAGCCUCUUUUGCCACUGAACUCAGUGUUGCUUCCU